rnacentral:lncRNA from 1 species
CUCCUACCACUUGUGGCACAUUGGGCUAUGCACGUGGAAAAGCUGAAAUUCUUAAAAGGAAACCAGGAGGCUUCUAGGACCCAGAAGCUGAGAUGCUUUCCAAGCUUCAGGCUGCCUCUUACCCUUCACUGCAGUAGAUCUGUGCAUCAGCUACAGUGGACAAGAAGCAACAGAGAGGUACCCAGUAUGCUAGAAACCUGCACAAGGGAAGAAGAUACCAUUUGUUUGGGGAAAAGUGUGAAGAAACACAGUGAGGAUCUGUACAGUUAAGAAGGAAGGAACUCUUCUUCAGAACCACAACAGAUCUCGUUAUCUUUUUAUAUCACUAUGCUGUUAUAUGAAGUACCGGGAAGAUAAGACGAAAACAAUCAUGCUUAGUAUGGUCCACCAGGGAAUAAUGGCUUAUAGAACUGAAUGACAUUAGAAAGACUUGUUGGUCUGUUCAAGAGUCCUUUUUAAAACUAACAAAGAAGACAGCAAGAAUGUCACUCCAGGGUCCAGGACUGCUCCUUCUGUGCUACCACUGUUGAUUCUCUGUGAUUACUCAGUAGGAACCUAGAAUAGGAUGGGUGAUGGACUUAU